CAAAAACAUGUCUUUUUGAAUUUUUUUAAAAGUUUAACCUGCCCACUGAAAUUUUAAAUGGCCGCAGUAUAUUAACUGUGCAAAGGUAGCAUAAUCAUUAGUCUUUUAAUUGAAGGCUGGUAUGAAUGGUUGGACGAAAUAUUAACUGUUUCAUAAAAAUUUAUAUUAAAAUUUUAUAUUUUAGUUAAAAAGCUAAAAUGUAUUUAAAAGACGAGAAGACCCUAUAAAUCUUUAUAUUUAAAUUAUUAUAAUUUUAUGGAUUAUUUUUAUUUUAAUAAUUAAUAAUAUUUUAUUGGGGUGAUAUUAAAAUUUAAUAAACUUUUAAUUUUUAAAUUUCAUUAAUACAUGAUUAAUUGAUCCAUUAUUAGUGAUUAAAAAUUUAAGUUACUUUAGGGAUAACAGCGUAAUUUUUUUGGAGAGUUCAUAUUGAUAAAAAAGAUUGCGACCUCGAUGUUGGAUUAAGAUAUAAUUUUAGGUGUAGCUGCUUAAAUUUUAAGUCUGUUCGACUUUUAAAUUCUUACAUGAUCUGAGUUUAAACCGGUGUAAGCCAGGUUGGUUUCUAUCUUUAAUAAUUUAAAAUAUUUCAGUACGAAAGGACCUAAUAUUUAAUAAAUAUUUAUUUUUAUGUUGAAUAUUAUUAAUAU
rnacentral:rRNA from 1 species